rnacentral:rRNA from 1 species
AACGAACGCUGGCGGCAUGCCUAAUACAUGCAAGUCGAACGAGAUCUUCGGAUCUAGUGGCGCACGGGUGCGUAACGCGUGGGAAUCUGCCCUUGGGUUCGGAAUAACUUCUGGAAACGGAAGCUAAUACCGGAUGAUGACGUAAGUCCAAAGAUUUAUCGCCCAAGGAUGAGCCCGCGUAGGAUUAGCUAGUUGGUGGGGUAAAGGCCCACCAAGGCGACGAUCCUUAGCUGGUCUGAGAGGAUGAUCAGCCACACUGGGACUGAGACACGGCCCAGACUCCUACGGGAGGGAGCAGUAGGGAAUAUUGGACAAUGGGCGAAAGCCUGAUCCAGCAAUGCCGCGUGAGUGAUGAAGGACUUAGGGUUGUAAAGCUCUUUUACCCGGGAUGAUAAUGACAGUACCGGGAGAAUAAGCUCCGGCUAACUCCGUG